rnacentral:rRNA from 1 species
UACAGAGGUCUCAAGCGUUGUUCGGAUUCAUUGGGCGUAAAGGGUGCGUAGGCGGCGCGGUAAGUCGGGUGUGAAAUCUCGGAGCUUAACUCCGAAACUGCAUUCGAUACUGCCGUGCUUGAGGACUGGAGAGGAGACUGGAAUUUACGGUGUAGCGGUGAAAUGCGUAGAUAUCAGGAGGAACACCGGUGGCGAAGGCGGGUCUCUGGACAGUUCCUGACGCUGAGGCACGAAGGCCAGGGGAGCAAACGGG